rnacentral:rRNA from 1 species
UACGGGGGGGGCAAGCGUUGUUCGGAAUUACUGGGCGUAAAGGGCUCGUAGGUGGCCAACUAAGUCAGACGUGAAAUCCCCAGGCUCAACUUGGGAACUGCGUCUGAUACUGGAUGGCUUGAAUUCGGGAGAGGGAUGCAGAAUUCCAGGUGUAGCGGUGAAAUGCGUAGAUAUCUGGAGGAAUACCGGUGGCGAAGGCGGCAUCCUGGACCGAUAUUGACGCUGAGGUGCGAAAGCGUGGGGAGCAAACAGG